GCUGCUGAUGUUGAACAGCCGCUGCUCGGUCAGUUGCACCAGAGUGGAGCUGUGGAGGACGAACUUGGACUGCGGCUCGGUGGACCAGUGAAAAUGUCUCAGUGCUGCUGAAAUGAGACAAACUAACAUGCAGAUUUCCAUUAAGACGUUAAAAUAAUCCUGUGUUCCCACCGUCCACUGAGACUCUGAUGAAGGCCAGCCUGGUUCCU